GACGAACGCUGGCGGCGUGCUUAACACAUGCAAGUCGAACGGAAAGGCCCUGCUUUUGUGGGGUGCUCGAGUGGCGAACGGGUGAGUAACACGUGAGUAACCUGCCCUUGACUUUGGGAUAACUUCAGGAAACUGGGGCUAAUACCGGAUAGGAGCUCCUGCUGCAUGGUGGGGGUUGGAAAGUUUCGGCGGUUGGGGAUGGACUCGCGGCUUAUCAGCUUGUUGGUGGGGUAGUGGCUUACCAAGGCUUUGACGGGUAGCUGGCCUGAGAGGGUGGCCGGCCACAUUGGGACUGAGAUACGGCCCAGGCUCCUACGGGAGGCAGCAGUGGGGAAUAUGACACAGUGAGCGGAAGCCUGAUGCAGCAGCGCCGCGUGCGGGAUGACGGCCUUCGGGUUGUAAACCGCUUUCGCCUGUGACGAAGCGUGAGUGACGGUAAUGGGUAAAGAAGCACCGGCUAACUACGUG
rnacentral:rRNA from 1 species